GGAGGUGUAGCUCAGUGGCACAGCAUUUGCCUGGCAUGCACAAGACCCUGAGUUCAAUCCCCAGCAACACACA
rnacentral:tRNA from 1 species